rnacentral:tmRNA from 1 species
GCUGUAGACGUAACGGCUAAAACUCAUACAGCUCGCUCCAAGCACCCUGCCACUCGGGCGGCGCGGAGUUAACUCAGUAGAGAUGGCUAAGCAUGUAGAACCGACAGCGGAGAACUGGCGGACGGGGUUCAAAUCCCCCCGGCUCCACCA